UACGAAGGGUGCAAACGUUGCUCGGAAUUAUUGGGCGUAAAGCGCACGUAGGCGGCAUAGCAAGUCGGAUGUGAAAUCCCUCGGCUCAACCAAGGAAGUGCAUCCGAAACUGCUGUGCUUGAGUACGAAAGAGGAUCGCGGAAUUCCCGGUGUAGAGGUGAAAUUCGUAGAUAUCGGGAGGAACACCUAUGGCGAAGGCAGCUCGCUGGGACGUUACUGACGCUGAGACGCGAAAGCGUGGGGGAGCAAACAGG
rnacentral:rRNA from 1 species